rnacentral:rRNA from 1 species
GCUGUCUCAAAGAUUAAGCCAUGCAUGUCUAAGUAUAAGCAACUAUACGGUGAAACUGCGAAUGGCUCAUUAAAUCAGUUAUCGUUUAUUUGAUAGUACCUUACUACAUGGAUAACCGUGGUAAUUCUAGAGCUAAUACAUGCUAAAAACCCCAACUUCGGAAGGGGUGUAUUUAUUAGAUAAAAAACCAAUGCCCUUCGGGGCUCCUUGGUGAAUCAUAAUAACUUCACGAAUCGCAUGGCCUUGCGCCGGCGAUGGUUCAUUCAAAUUUCUGCCCUAUCAACUUUCGAUGGUAGGRUAGWGGCCUACCAUGGUUUCAACGGGUAACGGGGAAUUAGGGUUCGACUCCGGAGAGGGAGCCUGAGAAACGGCUACCACAUCCAAGGAAGGCAGCAGGCGCGCAAAUUACCCAAUCCCGACACGGGGAGGUAGUGACAAUAAAUACUGAUACAGGGCUCUUUUGGGUCUUGUAAUUGGAAUGAGUACAAUUUAAAUCCCUUAACGAGGAACAAUUGGAGGGCAAGUCUGGUGCCAGCAGCCGCGGUAAUUCCAGCUCCAAUAGCGUAUAUUAAAGUUGUUGCAGUUAAAAAGCUCGUAGUUGAACCUUGGGCCUGGCUGGCCGGUCCGCCUCACCGCGUGUACUKGUCCGGCCGGGCCUUUCCUUCUGGGGAGCCKCAUGCCCUUCACUGGGYGUGUCGGGGAACCAGGACUUUUACUUUGAAAAAAUUAGAGUGUUCAAAGCAGGCCUUUGCUCGAAUACAUUAGCAUGGAAUAAUAGAAUAGGACGUGUGGUUCUAUUUUGUUGGUUUCUAGGACCGCCGUAAUGAUUAAUAGGGAUAGUCGGGGGCAUCCGUAUUCAAUUGUCAGAGGUGAAAUUCUUGGAUUUAUUGAAGACKAACUACUGCGAAAGCAUUUGCCAAGGAUGUUUUCAUUAAUCAGUGAACGAAAGUUAGGGGAUCGAARACGAUCAGAUACC